CGAGCUACCCCUAAAAAAAAACCCCACCACACACCACUCCUCUCUCUCCCCGCACCCCCUCGUCCAAACACCAAACCCUAGCCUCCGCACGCCACCACCCACCCACCGCCUCGUCCUUCCCACAGCUCGCCGCCGACGACCUCUCCUCUCCCAUCUGCUUCCCUCCCAUAGCACGCGGAACGCGCCGCCGUCUCCUCCCUGAUCCAACGCGCCGCCGUCUCCUCCCCGAUCAAGAUCGAACACAUCGCCGUCUCCUCCCCGAUCCAACGCGUCGGCGUCUCCUCCCUAAUCUAGAUCCAACACGCCGCCGCCUCCUCCCCAAUCCCCUGAUCGAUAUGCUGGCUCUCUCACCUUGCCGGCAGGUCCCUCCGCCACCCCUCCUCCCCCUGUCCCGACCCCCUGCGCCACAUGUCGGAGCUCGGAUCGUGCACUGCUGUUCGUUGGCGGGCUGAGGCGGGCGUCCGGGCGUGCGCCAUGGACGUGGACAGCAUUGAGUGCCUCUUGCUGCCCAACGCCGACAUGGAUGCGGACGAUGUCGACCUCGCCCUCCACCCGCACGGCGGGAUCCUCGUCGCCGCCGCCGCCUCCCACCCGGCCGCCUACCCCAAGGCCGCCAUCGGCGCGGUUGGCAUCGUCGCGCCGCGGAGUAGCGUGCACGAGCUUCUCGAGUGCCCCGUCUGCACCAACUCCAUGUACCCGCUGAUCCACCAGGUUUAUUGAUUUUGCCCGCCCCCUUCUUGAUUCUGGCGCGACGUGCUGUGUGUCGGGUGUGCUUGGAGCCUUGGACUUGGUCUGCUUCGGGACCGGGGCCGAUUCUUGGGUUCAAAUGGGGAUCUGGGUUUGGGAAAUCGAUAGUUUCCAAUUGCAUAGCUAGUGUCGAAUUUUUGGGGGAUAUUGGUGUAGUGAAUUGUCUGUCAUUUCACAUAUGCUGGGAUUUUGGUCACGUGCUCUGCCGUAAUCAAACGAAAAUAGCAUAUGUAUUCCUUGUAUCAUUGUUCUUGUUCAUUGGGAUUUUGGGUGAUCCUUUCCUGCCAUGUAGAGGAUUAAGAAAAGGUUAUAAUUUAGGAUAUUGCAAACAAGCAUGCUAUUAGACAGUUUCUACCUGGUAAAAAUUGGGGUACAAUCCUGAACAGAAAUUGGUGUGAUAUGAUUAAUAAAUUGAGGGAUUUGGGCAAUCUCAAACCUCAUUAUAUUUGUUUUCUGCUCCCAUCUUAUUUUCUGUAUUUGAUUUGAUUGUGGAUAUGUGAUCAGCCCUUAUGGAGGAUAUAAGGUGGAGUACAGGUCAAGUGAUCAGCCCUUGUGGAGCUAGAUGGACGAAGCAGCUGAUUUGUUAGCGCAUCAUCAAAUGUUGUCUUUGUAUUUCUUCUUGCUCCAUGAAUUACCCAUCAAUAUGGUGCAUAGAUAGAAAUUUCUCAUAGAUCCUGGUUUCAUGCUUGCACCUUUGGUCCGCAUGGUUUUUGUGGGGAUAUGGUACCGGACUAGAGCGUAGAGGCUGAUGAUUUCUUGAUGCAUACAGAUUGUGGAUGCCAUGUCUGAAACUGUUCAAUUUUGGAUGACUCAAACCGGCUCUAGCUAGCAAUCUCUCUCUCCUUCUCGGUGUAUGUGCGCGCCUGUGCAUCCAUUGCAUGUAAAAUCACGUUUUCAAACUCUUCUACUGUCUGAUAGACUGACCUUGAAUCCACCAACACAUUGUCUCAGUUUUCCAUGCUCUAUCUAGUACUAGUUCCUAACUUCCUAUACAUAUAGGAGUAUUCUGCUUGCUUUGGUUGCUAAACCAAAAUACCAUGGUUGGGUGACGUCCGUCUGUCCUGGGUUACGUUAGCAUACUAGUACAACACAGCUAGUCAUAACAAGUAAUGCUCCUCUUCUUCCUCGACCACCUGAACCACCACGCCGGCGGGGCUCCUGAAGCAUCAACUUCAAUAAUGGUGUUGUGUGUUCUGGAAGAUGGAAGAGGAAGAAAACCUAUUUUUGUUGAACUAAAUUUUUUGUAUUCUGUUUUGUUGUACGUAUCAUUUGAUAGUUUUGUAUAGGAACAAGUGAUACUAUUUUGUAGGGCUUUAUGGCCUGUGAUGUAAACAUAUUUAGUGCUGAAAUAUGAAAUUUGCAAAAUUUGUCGAAAA